rnacentral:lncRNA from 1 species
UAGGCUCCCUUAGGCAUGAAUUUUGAGAUUCCACUUUCAAAAUGUCAGGAGUUGACUUUUCUGGCCCCACAGUUGACUUUUCCCAAACUGCCUGAUUCCCGAUUCCAUUGAUCAAUUGAAGCACCUCUGGCUCAAAUAAAGAGCUGAUUUUUUGUAUGUAGACCCUUGUGGUCAUAUAGAGGGCCAUGGAAAAGAGUUUCACCCAAGGAAUCAG